rnacentral:rRNA from 1 species
UACGUAGGUGGCACGCGUUGUCCGGAUUUACUGGGCGUAAAGAGCGCGCAGGCGGUCGUACAAGUCGCGUGUGAAAGCCCCCGGCUCAACUGGGGAGGGUCACGCGAUACUGUUCGACUCGAAGGCAGGAGAGGGAAGUGGAAUUCCCGGUGUAGUGGUGAAAUGCGUAGAUAUCAGGAGGAACACCGGUGGCGAAGGCGGGUCUCUGGGCCGUAACUGACGCUGAGGAGCGAAAGCGUGGGGAGCGAACAGG